GAUUACAACAGAGAAAUUGCUUUAGGUUCCUCUGGAGUUCAAAGUGUACAGAUGCAGGCUUCAAAAGGAAAUAUUUGUAGACUUGUCUUCAAUCUGAAGGCUCUAUGUACCUGUAGUGGGCCAAACCUGUGCUCGGCAAUGGGCCGAACAUGAUUCGUAUGGGGCUCGCCAGAACGGGCAGCCCAGUCCACAUGAGAAGCAGUGGGCGGAACGGUAUUGGGCCAACGGCCCACAUGUUCUGUCAGACCAGAGGCCCACGACCCGUUAUCCUAGGGAUCGGUCAGAGACCGACGGCACACCCGACCCAAGUAUCAACCCAGGAGUUAGUUGGAGAGAUUUCUAGAGUUAUGCUUGGAGCACAUGGAGGCCAUGAGCUAGCCGGCCAUCACCAUGACGUCACUAAUCGAGGCUACAUGUGACGUCGGACGUGUGCCCUGCACACUUGGAGAGCAAGUACAAACCGUCUACAUGUGCCAAGCAAGGUUGUUGAAUCAGAAAUCGCUCUGAUUCGGUCAUGAUUUCUAUAAUGCAUGGAAACAUAUAUUUAUUAAUUAGGGUACAAAAAUAUAUAUUACAAAUGAAAGUUUUAGGCCAAAAUCAAUAAAAACCUUCUUCUAUAUGAUGAGUUGACAAUUAUGUAGAGUAUCAGGUAAGCUGCUUCUAUUGCAACUUCCAAGAGAUGAGGAUUCAGUAAUCCUACUUUUAGUUCUUUCUGUAAAAAAGAGUUAAAAGUACAAAACAACCCCUUGGAAGGUCUAUCAGGUGGUUGUAUUUCCUUUAUCUUUCCCAUUUUCGAUCCACUCUCAUAAUAAAUCUACCUUUCUUAGUGCCUAUAAUACUACAUAAGGAGAAAAAUAGACAAAAAAUGGCAUAUAACAAUACUAAAAACCUUAAGAAAAUAAUUUGAAGUUUGAACCCUUUUCCACCAACAAAAAAGCAAACAAAGAUUAAAAAAUGGAUUUUGUGUAAAUUUUAAGUGAAUCAAAUCAAACGAUUCAUCAAUUCACCAAUUCACUUAAGAUUCGCAACUAUUUUCAAUUCAAGCAGCCUGUUCGUAUCGAUUACCCACCAGAUCGUAUCGAAUCGUGAAUCAUACAAUUCUAACAACUAUGAUACCAAGGGAUAAACCCUAGAGAAGGUAAGUCGUUCCCAAUAGUUCUACAGUACUUCUUCUCCUCCUCCACAUACUAACUUGAUCGUCAGAGUGUCGUUGGGCUAACUCCGGCCCGACGGCGCUAAUUGGCAAAGGUGUUCGGAUCUACCGAGAAGGAAUUCUCAAACUACCACCCCACAGAACCGUAACAACUUCUAAAGUGUCAAAGCAUGAUCUAAGAUACAGCAAACUCUAAACACAAAAAUAGACAAUAUAUUUAUAUGGUUAUGCUUAAAGCCUGCAUCCAAAGGGGACUAUGAGGAGAUUU